rnacentral:lncRNA from 1 species
GACUUGGGCAGCUGUAGUAUUAUCCUGUGAGGACCACAGAUGUUACCUGUAAUAGUAAAAUAAUGAAGGUGAUCAUAGAAGACACUGCAGGUUAGAACUCUGCUGUGUGUGCUUUACACUGGCUCCCAGAGUCUCUGCAGCAGAAUCAAGCUCUGGAACUCAGCUGGGUAACACCUAUGUGCCCUUCCUAGUCCUUUCACCACUUCCUACCAGUAUUUUCCUUCAACCUCCAAAUAAAUUCCUUGCACUGAGA